rnacentral:lncRNA from 1 species
AAUAGUGGUUUUCUUAGCGGAAUAAAAAAGGUAAGUAAGAUGGUUUCUGUAAUAUACUGUUGUUGGCCAAUGGGGGCCUCUAGUUAGGGUGAAGACCUGUACUGACUGACUGACUGCUACUGGUUAGGUAGUUUGAGGUGCCGACAAUAGCUAGUACUAAUAUCAUUUGGAACAAUGCUAGAAAAGUAACAGCCUUUAAUGUGAAUUGAGAAAAGUAUAGCUAAGGAUGUCAGUAGGUCUGUAUCUUUUUUUUUCUCCCUGGUCAACAGAUAUUUCCACUGCCCUUGGUUUGGUCCUCAUGGUCUGAGAAUGACAUCUGUUCUUCAGUUGUAAGGCAGUAACUGCCAGGAAGAUGGGUCUUAUAUUUGUAGUUCGGCUUUCUUAGCCCACUU